UACGUAGGGUGCAAGCGUUGUCCGGAAUUAUUGGGCGUAAAGAGCUCGUAGGCGGCUUGUCGCGUCUGCUGUGAAAACUCGGGGCUUAACUCCGGGCCUGCAGUGGGUACGGGCAGACUAGAGUGCGGUAGGGGAGACUGGAAUUCCUGGUGUAGCGGUGAAAUGCGCAGAUAUCAGGAGGAACACCGGUGGCGAAGGCGGGUCUCUGGGCCGUAACUGACGCUGAGGAGCGAAAGCGUGGGGGAGCGAACAGG
rnacentral:rRNA from 1 species